GACGAACGCUGGCGGCGUGCUUAACACAUGCAAGUCGAACGGUGAAGCGCCUUCCUUUUUGGUGGGUGUGGAUGAGUGGCGAACGGGUGAGUAACACGUGAGUAACCUGCCCCCUUCUUCUGGAUAACCGCAUGAAAGUGUGGCUAAUACGGGAUAUUCUGGGUCUGUCGCAUGAUGGGUCUGGGAAAGAUAUUGUUUCGGUGGGGGAUGGGCUCGCGGCCUAUCAGCUUGUUGGUGGGGUGAUGGCCUACCAAGGCGGUGACGGGUAGCCGGCCUGAGAGGGUGGACGGUCACACUGGGACUGAGACACGGCCCAGACUCCUACGGGAGGCAGCAGUGGGGAAUAUUGCACAAUGGGCGCAAGCCUGAUGCAGCGACGCCGCGUGGGGGAUGGAGGCCUUCGGGUUGUGAACCUCUUUCGCCAGUGAAGCAGGCCUGCCUCGUUUGUGGGUGGGUUGACGGUAGCUGGAUAAGAAGCGCCGGCUAACUACGU
rnacentral:rRNA from 1 species